rnacentral:lncRNA from 1 species
GUUUAAAAUGAAGUCAUAAGUAUCAGAAGUUAACCAUGAUUACCGAUAAAAUGAUUGUUUAAAGGCUAAAUAUUAAAUAAUAAAUUCACUAGCCUAAACAUAUACUACGAUUGUCAAUGAUAGCUUUUUACGUCAUCAUAGAUACCAGGAUUACAAUUUUGAAAGCCUGACGCGCGAUUCGUAUUCAUAAGACACACUAGUUUCGCAAA